GAGAACUAACAAUUCGAUAGGUGGAAUGAGGGAGUAACGACCUAAAACGCCUACACUGAUACUCCGAUUGGCGGUGGUAAUAGACUACCUAACCGUCAAAAGCUCGGUGAAGUCGGCAGAGAGUGACCGUAAGUAAAGGAUUUUUCUUUACACGAAAGCUGUUCAGCGGUGAAUGGUGUCACCUAUAUGUCGGGUGUCGAAUAC
rfam:[Clostridium] neopropionicum strain DSM-3847 CLNEO_contig000002, whole genome shotgun sequence.